GUCUGCAAAACCGUGAAGAAAGACAGCGUUUGAGUAUUACGGGCGAGAUAAAGAUGAUCAAGUUCUUAAUUAUAAUGUGUCUGUACUGCGAUUUUGGAUCGGACAAGAUAUACACAACUCUGCAAAUAUAAUUUAAAAUCUCUUCAAUCAUUGAUGGAAGUUCUGCCGUAUAUAUGCGAUCAAACAGACGUUCUCAUCGAAUGUUGUUUGUUUGUAAAUGGAACGAUAAAGAAUGAUGGCGUACCAGUGAAUGGACGACAACGGACGGCAACUCGCACGUUUGUUCCUCCAGAAGACUGCAUUGCAAAUCACAAUAAUAUCAGUAACUAGAAUUGGUAUGCUAUAACCCAGGUUAAGCUCGUUUUACCAUCUUUGUUAUUUUCCCAGUGAUGGAGGAAUUCGCACACACGGAUUUGCUCACUUCGCCAUUGUGGUCAGGUUCCUAGUUAUUAGGGGGUGUGACGUCACGAUCAAAACAUAGCAACAGACUGGAAAAAGAAAAUAAAAAAUAUUGACAGGA